rnacentral:tRNA from 1 species
GCCUGGGUGGCUCAGUCGGUUAAGCGUCUGACUUUGACUCAGGUCAUGAUCUCAUGGUUUGUGAGUUCGAGCCCCACGUCGGGCU